rnacentral:tRNA from 1 species
AGUGGGGUCAAAAGCGCCAGCGGCGGAACGCACACGCGCUGGAGGUCCAGAGGUCGCAGGUUCAAAUCCUGCCCCCGCUA